AUGUGACCUGUGGACUUCCCUUUGUCAUCCUAUGCCUGGGGUCAUAGAGGGGGCUGGGAAGGCAAAGGGACGUCCAGUCGUCAUCAGC
rnacentral:pre_miRNA from 1 species